CCAAAAACAUCGCCUCUUGCAUCUCAUAAGAGGUCCAGCCUGCCCAGUGACUCUGUUCAACGGCCGCGGUAUCCUAACCGUGCGAAGGUAGCGUAAUCACUUGUUCUUUAAUUGUGGACUAGUAUGAAUGGCACCACGAGGGUUAUACGUCUCCUUUUUCUAAUCAGUGAAACUAAUCUCUCCGUGAAGAAGCGGAGAUGAAGUUAUAAGACGAGAAGACCCUAUGGAGCUUUAAACAACUAUAGCAAUUAUCACAUUACACAGAUUUUUUCUGAAUCAAUUAAUUCUUAAGGUAGUAUGACUAUACGUUUUUGGUUGGGGUGACCGCGGAGCAAAAUUUAACCUCCAUGUUGAAUGACUAAACUUCUAAGCUGAGACCUACAUGUCUAAGCAUCAACACACUGACACUUAUUGACCCAAUAUACUUGAGCAACGAACCAAGUUACCCUAGGGAUAACAGCGCAAUCCACUUCAAGAGCUCCUAUCGACAAGUGGGUUUACGACCUCGAUGUUGGAUCAGGGUAUCCCAGUGGUGCAGCCGCUACUAAAGGUUCGUUUGUUCAACGAUUAAAACCCUACGUGAUCUGAGUUC
rnacentral:rRNA from 1 species